rnacentral:rRNA from 1 species
AAGGGCGACUGAAGUGUCAAAAGCUCACCAUGUGAAUCUGCAAUGCUGAAUUGUGGUCUGAAGAGUCUUGCAAUUGAGCCAAGUCAUUUGGAAUGGGGCAGUUCAAAGGGUGAAACUCCUGAAUGCCUGGCCUUUUCACAGAGUCGAGUUGUUUGGGAUUGCAGCUCUAAGAGGGUGGUAAAUUCCACCAAAAGCAAAAUACUGGUGAAAGUCCAAUAGUGAACAAGUACCGUGAGGGAAAGAUGCAAAGAACUUUGAAAAGAGAGUUAAAGAGUACCUGAAAUUGCUGAAAAGGAAGCAGAGGGAAUCAGUGCUGUUCUGUCAUACUAUCCCAAUUGCUUGUGAUUGGGGCGCUGUGGCAAACUUAGUCUCCAUUGAU